ensembl:processed_transcript AV026068 expressed sequence AV026068
GCCGAGGUCCUCUUCUAGGAUUGGUUGUCCACUCAUAACCAUAAGAUAAUUAAAACGGGGGGGGCAGGGUAAAAAAAAACCCUUUUAUCAGCCAUAGGUUAAUGCAAGUGUUUAACAGAUGCUUCGCUAUUAAAAUAUUUCCCCCCAAUACUGAAGAAUCUUAAACCAGCAACCCUAACAGAGAUUGCGAAGAUUUUCAAAGUGGGGCACCUCGAUUUCUCGAAUCUGUGGUGUGGCGAAUAUCCGUGUUCCUCCUGCUUAACUAGCCUGUUUGAAGGCACAGUUCAUUCUCGAGCAAUUCGUCACCUCCUGGGGGUCUUCUCUUCCCGUCUACAGGAGAGUGUGACUUCAGAAAGAACUUCGGAUUGGCCAAGGCAGGUCUGAUUCUAUUUAUUCUAAAGACAGAGUUGGAGAUGGGCUACCAUUGGUGUUGAUUGAGAUGACAAGCAGUCACCUGAGCCCAUACAGCUGGCUUCACAGAUGUGGCUAGUCUUGCUAGCCAGCUCGCACUGUGGAAAUUCUAGGGAACUGACUGUAGUCCUCAUGCUUGGAGUCAAACACUUUAACCACUGCACACGUUUAUGUAAUAGGAUUGACAUAUGAGAAUCAGAGAAAUGAAUGAAAGAUUAGAGUGAGAGAAAGUGCUUGCUGCCAAGCUUGAUGACCUAAAUUGAAUACCUGGAACCUACACGACAGAAAGAGAGAGCUGACUGCUGAAAGAUGUCCUCAGAUCUUCACAUGUGCACAGUGGCACCUAUCCAACCAUGCACAUAGUAUAUUAAAAAUUAUUUUUUAAAAAA